UCCCUGGUGGCUCAGAGGUUAAAGCGUCUGCCUCCAAUGCGGGAGACCUGGGUUCCAACCCUGGAUCGGGAA
rnacentral:tRNA from 1 species